GACAGAGGUCCCAAGCGUUAGGCGGAAUCACUGGGCUUAAAGCGUGUGUAGGCGGACUUCUAAGUACCUUGUGAAAUCCCACGGCUCAACCGUGGAACUGCUUGGUAUACUGAUUGUCUUGGGCCAUCUAGGGGCUAGCGGAACAAACGGUGGAGCGGUGAAAUGCGUAGAUAUCGUUUGGAACGCCAAUGGUGAAAACAGCUAGCUGGGGAUGUGCCGACGCUGAGACACGAAAGCCAGGGGAGCGAACGGG
rnacentral:rRNA from 1 species